rfam:Picea glauca, whole genome shotgun sequence.
ACAUGCCUACAUCAUAGCGUGAAUGCACUGGAUCCCAUUAUAAUUCCACAGUUAAGUGUGCUCGAGCUAGAGUAGUACUGGGAUGGGUGAGAACCUAGGAAGUCGUAGUGUUUUACAUGCC